GGCGAACGGGUGAGGAUCACGUGAGAAACGUGCCCCAGACUCUGGGAUAACAAUUGGAAACGAUUGCUAAUACCGGAUGACGUCGGAGAAUCGCAUGAUUCACUGACGAAAGAUAUUUCGGUUUGGGAGCGUCUCGCGGCCUAUCAGCUUGUUGGUGGGGUAAUGGCCUACCAAGGCAACGACGGGUAGCUGGUCUGAGAGGAUGAUCAGCCACACUGGGACUGAGACACGGCCCAGACUCCUACGGGAGGCAGCAGUGGGGAAUCUUGCGCAAUGGGCGAAAGCCUGACGCAGCAACGCCGCGUGCGGGAUGAAGGCCUUCGGGCUGUAAACCGCUUUCAGCAGGAACGAAAAUGACGGUACCUGCAGAAGAAGGAGCGGCCAACUACGUGCCAGCAGCCGCGGUGACACGUAGGCUCCAAGCGUUGUCCGGAUUUAUUGGGCGUAAAGAGCUCGUAGGCGGUUGAGUAAGUCGGGUGUGAAAACUCUGGGCUUAACCCGGAGACGCCAUCCGAUACUGCUCUGACUAGAGUUCAGGAGGGGAGUGGGGAAUUCCUAGUGUAGCGGUGAAAUGCGCAGAUAUUAGGAGGAACACCGGUGGCGAAGGCGCCACUCUGGACUGAAACUGACGCUGAGGAGCGAAAGCAUGGGUAGCAAACAGGAUUAGAUACCCUGGUAGUCCAUGCCGUAAACGGUGGGCACUAGGUGUGGGUUCCAACUAACGGGAUCCGCGCCGUCGCUAACGCAUUAAGUGCCCCGCCUGGGGAGUACGGUCGCAAGACUAAAACUCAAAGGAAUUGACGGGGGCCCG
rnacentral:rRNA from 1 species